GACGAACGCUGGCGGCGUGCUUAACACAUGCAAGUCGAACGGAAAGGCCCUGCUUUUGUGGGGUGCUCGAGUGGCGCAAGGGUGUGUAACACGUGAGUAACCUGCGCUUUACUUUGGGAUAACUUCAGGAGACUGGGGCUAAUACCGGAUAGGAGCUCCUGCUGCAUGGUGGGGGUUGGAAAGUUUCGGCGGUUGGGGAUGGACUCGCGGUUUAUCAGCUUGUUGGUGGGGUAGUGGCUUACAAAGGCAUUGACGGGUAGCCGGACUGCGAGGGUGACCGGCCACAAUGGGACUGAGAUAGGACCCAGACGGCUACGGGGGGCAUCGGUGGGAAAUUUUGCACAAUGGGCGGAAGCCUGAAACAGCAACGCCGGGUGCGGGAUGACGGCCUUCGGGGUGUAAACCGCUUUAGCCUGGGACGAAGCGUGAGUGACGGUAAUGAGUAAAGAAGCACCGGCUAACUACGUG
rnacentral:rRNA from 1 species